rnacentral:pre_miRNA from 1 species
UAUUCCGAGUUGAUCGGACAUCUACGGGUUCCUUCCUGUGGUGAUAUUCCAAUGAUUAAUAUCACCGGGUUGGUACCGGUAGACGUCCGAUCUUCUCAC